GACGAAGGGGGCUAGCGUUGUUUGGAAUUACUGGGCGUAAAGCGCGUGUAGGCGGUUGUCCAAGUUGGAUGUGAAAGCCUUGAGCUCAACUCAAGAAAUGCAUUCAGGACUGGGCGACUAGAGGACCGGAGAGGAUAGUGGAAUUCCCAGUGUAGUGGUGAAAUACGUAGAGAUUGGGAAGAACACCAGUGGCGAAGGCGGCUAUCUGGACGGUUUCUGACGCUAAGACGCGAAAGCGUGGGGAGCAAACAGG
rnacentral:rRNA from 1 species